rnacentral:rRNA from 1 species
UACGGAGGGUGCAAGCGUUAUCCGGAUUCACUGGGUUUAAAGGGUGCGUAGGUGGGCAGGUAAGUCAGUGGUGAAAUCUCCGGGCUUAACCCGGAACUGCCGUUGAUACUAUCUGUCUUGAAUGUAGUGGAGGUGAGCGGAAUAUGUCAUGUAGCGGUGAAAUGCUUAGAUAUGACAUAGAACAUCGAUUGCGAAGGCAGCUCGC